rnacentral:rRNA from 1 species
AUGAGCUGGAAUGUUCGAGGCCUAAACUCACCGGCGAAGCGUGAAGCAAUUCGUGAGGUUGUCGCUGCGCACCGCACAGCCAUCUUGUGCUUGCAAGAGACCAAGAUCGACGAAUGGACGCCGGCCCUCGUACGCGACAUCGGCGGCCAAACCUUGCGGGGAUGCGCGGUGCUACCCGCCUCUGGCACUCGCGGCGGCAUUGCCAUCCUGUGGAAUCAG